ensembl:misc_RNA 7SK 7SK RNA
AAAGGUGUGCACCACCACCGCCCGGUAUCCGUCAUCCCCUCAUGGCCAGGGUUGAUUUGAUUGAUCUUGCAGGCAGGUGUCAGCUUCCUCUCUCCCCACUCACGUGUGUCCUUCCCAAAGCUGCAUGUUAGGAGGAAGAAGAUGGCCCUCCCUGAGAGACGGACACUUCUUCAGUCAACAGUGCAGGAGUAGCUGUCCUCCCGGCUAGAACUUCCACAAGAGUCCUCAAGGAGCCCUUUCCCUCCUCUUCUCUCUCUAGGUUGCUUGGUUGCCUGUCUCUGAGGCUGAUCACUUGGUCAUGAGAAGGUUAUAUGUAUUUUUUUCUAGACAU